GCGGCGUUCGGUUUGGAGACAUGGCGUCGGCGCCGCGGCUGGUGCUGUGCGAGGAGAGGAUCCGGGAGAAGAGCGGUCUGGCGCCUCACCGCGACCUGGCUGAGCUCCAGUCGUUGUCUGUUCCUGGAACUUACCAGGAGAAGAUUACUCACUUGGGAAAUUCUCUGAUGAAUUUAACGGGUCUAAGAUCUUUGGAUCUCUCACGCAACUCCUUGGUUAGUCUGGAGGGCAUUCAGUACCUGACUGCACUGGAAAGCCUCAACCUCUACUACAACUCCAUCUCCUCGCUGGCAGAAGUGUUUCGGCUCCACUCCCUGACCGAGCUGCGGGACGUGGACUUCCGGCUGAACCCCGUGGUGAAGAGCGAGUCUGAUUACCGCCUGUUUGUGGUGCACAUGCUCCCCAGGCUGCAGCAGCUGGAUGACCGUCCCGUGAGGGACAGUGAACGGAAGGCUUCGCAGCUACACUUUGCUUCCGAGGACUCAGUCGACUCAAGAGAGAGCUUCCCGGCUGCCGUGCGAGCUGGCAGACCCCUCCCCUCCCAAGCCAGGUGCACUGACGCCUCUGCCAAGAAGUGCUUGGUCAUGGACGCCGAUGACGAGGCCGUCCUGAACCUCAUAGCCGAGUGCGAGUGGGAUCUGAGCAAUCCGCCCAGGAGCACCAGCUCCAGCCAGAGGGAGCGCGAGACCGACCUCCGUAGCACCCAGGAAUCCAGACCCUCGUCCAGCCCGCCGUCAGUGCAGCACCAGUGUGGGGACUCGGGGAAGAGGGCCCACGAGAAGAGGAAGGGCAGCUCCAGAGGGGGCUGUCCAGAGAAGCAGCCCCAGGACCACCACUGUGGGGAGCUCCCCGCCCUGCACGCGGCGUCCCAGGCCGUGCGUGCCCACUUCACCCCGCAUCCAGCCUCCAUGGACGUCGGGGACUCGGCCUCCUCUUGCCAGGAGUCCAGUACGUCAACGCAGAGAGUGCUCAGUGCUUUGCCCGUUCAGGAGAAGCUGAGGAAGCGACGAGUGCCCGGGGGCAGGUUCCAGGCGCCUGCCGACCAGGAGUGUCUGAGCUGCCUGGAGGAGGGGCUGAGCAGGCUGAGCGGCUCGGAAGGCAGGAGCGCUAGGGCCUUCUCUCUCUCUGGGGCGUCGGAGCUGGAAGGGCAACGUUUGCAAAGCGCGAGUGACGUCAGAGAGCCAUCUCCCAAGGUGCACUCGGCAGCCACGCCCAGGAAGAAGGCUGGUCUGGAGGUGGCCCUCCUGGAAGCGGUCCUCGACCUGGUGGACAGGCACUGGAGCGGCUGCAAGUCCCUGCAUGGCAACGAGGCAUUUCUCGCUCAGGCAAGACACAUCUUGUCAGCUGUUCCAGAACUGACUGUAGCUCGGGACAGUUUGACAGGUGUGAAGGAAGAAAUGAACCACCUGGCCCUGGAGAACAGGUCUCUGCAGAGCCACCUCGCUGACCAGCAGCAGCAGCACGCCCUGAAGAUGAGUGAGGUGAUGUCAGACCUGCACGAUGCACGCAAGGAGAUGGAGUCUGACACAGGUCUGUGGCUUGUGGGGGUCUACCUGCCUGGGGGCUGCCGUCUGUUUUCCAAGGAGCAAUGGAGAGAGGGAUGAAACCCGGCUCCCAGAAGAAUCCUUUGUGUCCACUCUCCUGACCCAGACCUGUGUGUGAGCCUGAGGGACUCUGCUGGGUCCCCACAGGCUGGACCCUCGCAGCUGAGCACACCCAUCAUGCUGGCCUUGACUGGGUGGGGUUUCUGAGCGGGUGGUCCUUGGAGAAAGGUGCUGCCAGUGAGUUACGUCGUGGGGUAAGGGGUGACUGGAGGGCUGCCAGCUGGGCCCCGAAGUGCAGGGCCCUUCGCCCUGGCUUGUGUGUGGCCGCCCAGCAAGUGACCACACGGGGAGCAGCCUGAAGUGGCUUGGUGAGGGCGUCUCGCUACGCUCGUGCCGCGAGGAGGAGCAGAGACGCCUGUUGUGCCGCACAAGAGCUGUGACGCCCUUGCAGAGCUCUUCGUGAUGGGCUUUCCUGUGAGCCUUCUGAAGGCCCCGCGUGUCGUCUUCGUGUUCUGUGGCUGAGCUGCUGCAGCUGGCUCGGGGUCAGAGGAGGUUGUUGUCACCACGUCUGAAGGCCUGACCCUCUUCCAGGUCGCUCAAGGGGGCCUGGGUCCUCACAGCAGGGGGCUGGUGACCUGAGGCAGCCAGGGCUGUGGAGCCGGGACCUUGGACUUUGUGACUGGGAGCUGCCCACAGUACCUCGUGGGUGAGAUGAGUGGAGGGUGCUGGGAUUGUCUGACGAAUACUUGGUACCUUUGCUUUAUGAGACUCUGCUCUCAGAGACCCCACAAACAGCUUCAUUUUAAGAGCAAAAAGGAAAAAUAGUGAAAUUCUGCAGGCACCUCUGAUGUUAAACACACUGGUGAAUACUCCUCCUGUGGCUCCUGCAUCUGGAAAUGCCUGGACCCCUGGCAGCUCUGGGCCUGGGCUCGCAGAAUGUUGACGGCGGAACACGGCACGGCCUGUUUGAGCAAACUAAGGAUGGCACCUGUUGGGGCUGUGGUGCAGCAAGGAUGACUUGAGACACCAUUUAGACAAGUCUUUGGAGGAGAAUAGUAGCUUAAAGUCUCUUUUGUUCAGCAUGAAAAGAGAAGUG